AUGAAACAUUGGCUGUGGAUUAUUCUUGCUGCUCUUUUCUUUGAGUGUAAAGGAGAAGACAGAGUGAUCCAGCCAACAGGAGAUGUCAUUACUACUGAAGGAGAUACAGUUACUCUUGGCUGUACAUUUGAGACAACUGAUCCAAGUCCAACGUUGUUCUGGUACAAACAAGGAGAAAAUGAUUACCCAAAGAUGAUGCUGCAACGUUUCUCUGUGAAAACAGAUAAUUCUAAAGAGCAAGAGAGAAUUGAUGCAACAAUCAAGGAUAAGUCAGUUCCUCUGAUGAUCCAGAAGCUUCAGCUGUCUGACUCUGCUGUGUACUACUGUGCUCUGAGGCCCACAGUGACAGGAAACACCAAA